UACGGGGGAGCAAGCGUUGUUCGGAUUUACUGGGCGUAAAGGGCGCGUAGGCGGUCAGCACAAGUCAGUUGUGAAAUCUCCGGGCUUAACUCGGAAAGGUCAACUGAUACUGUGCGACUAGAGUGCAGAAGGGGCAACUGGAAUUCUCGGUGUAGCGGUGAAAUGCGUAGAUAUCGAGAGGAACACCUGCGGCGAAGGCGGGUUGCUGGGCUGACACUGACGCUGAUGCGCGAAAGCCAGGGGAGGCGAACGGG
rnacentral:rRNA from 1 species